CGUACACUCCUGCGGGAGGCAGCAGUGGGGAAUUUUGGACAAUGGGCGAAAGCCUGAUCCAGCCAUGCCGCGUGCAGGAUGAAGGCCUUCGGGUUGUAAACUGCUUUUGUACGGAACGAAACGGCCUUUUCUAAUAAAGAGGGCUAAUGACGGUACCGUAAGAAUAAGCACCGGCUAACUACGUGCCAGCAGCCGCGGUAAUACGUAGGGUGCAAGCGUUAAUCGGAAUUACUGGGCGUAAAGCGUGCGCAGGCGGUUAUGUAAGACAGUUGUGAAAUCCCCGGGCUCGACCUGGGAACUGCAUCUGUGACUGCAUAGCUAGAGUACGGUAGAGGGGGAUGGAAUUCCGCGUGUAGCAGUGAAAUGCGUAGAUAUGCGGAGGAACACCGAUGGCGAAGGCAAUCCCCUGGACCUGUACUGACGCUCAUGCACGAAAGCGUGGGGAGCAAACAGGAUUAGAAACCCCUGUAGUCCCAUGA
rnacentral:rRNA from 1 species